AGCUUCUUCCUGAACCUUUCUGGGACCCUCCAGCAGAUUUCCUGAUACAAUUCUAAAGAAACAUUACACAACUUCAGAAAAGAGAAGAUGAGCUACAGAGACAGCAGAAGGAAACGUUUUCUCUGCAACUGAAAAAAAGGUCUUCUUAUGCAGCUUCAAGCUCAAGAACAUCUGAUUUAUCAGCUUCAGACUGAACAGUGUAAAUGAAAUCUGAGCUAGAAAAAUUAAGAGCUAAAGUUGAACAGCAGCAGAAUGAACUGGGCACAUACAGCAAGUUAUAUGGGCAGGCCAAACGUCAGAGACUGUCCAGUUUGGCCGAUGUACAUAGCAGAGGGGCAUUGCUGGCAUAUGAUG